CGGGAGUAACAACCUGGAAACAAGAUAGCUAAUACCGGAUAACAACAGAAUGAUGCCUAUCAACUGUUUAAAAGAAUAGGUUCUGCUAUCACUCUUGGAUGGACCUGCGGUGCAUUAGCUAGUUGGUAGGGUAACGGCCUACCAAGGCGAUGAUGCAUAGCCGAGUUGAGAGACUGAUCGGCCACAUUGGGACUGAGACACGGCCCAAACUCCUACGGGAGGCAGCAGUU
rnacentral:rRNA from 1 species